CCUACGGGUUGCAGCAGUGGGGAAUAUUGCACAAUGGGCGCAAGCCUGAUGCAGCCAUGCCGCGUGUAUGAAGAAGGCCUUCGGGUUGUAAAGUACUUUCAGCGGGGAGGAAGGCGAUAAGGUUAAUAACCUUGUCGAUCGACGUUACCCGCAGAAGAAGCACCGGCUAACUCCGUGCCAGCAGCCGCGGUAAUACGGAGGGUGCAAGCGUUAAUCGGAAUUACUGGGCGUAAAGCGCAUGCAGGCGGCCUGUUAAGUCAGAUGUGAAAGCCCGGGGCUUAACCUCGGAAUUGCAUUUGAAACUGGCAGGCUAGAGUCUUGUAGAGGGGGGUAGAAUUUCAGGUGUAGCGGUGAAAUGCGUAGAGAUCUGAAGGAAUACCAGUGGCGAAGGCGGCCCCCUGGACAAAGACUGACGCUCAGGUGCGAAAGCGUGGGGAGCAAACAGGAUUAGAUACCCCUGUAGUC
rnacentral:rRNA from 1 species